rnacentral:rRNA from 1 species
GACGUAGGGCGCGAGCGUUGUCCGGAUUUAUUGGGCGUAAAGAGCUCGUAGGCGGUGUGUCGCGUCGGCCGUGAAAACCUGCAGCUUAACUGUGGGCUUGCGGUCGAUACGGGCAUCACUGGAGUUCGGCAGGGGAGACUGGAAUUCCUGGUGUAGCGGUGAAAUGCGCAGAUAUCAGGAGGAACACCGGUGGCGAAGGCGGCGAUCUGGACGAUGACUGACGCUGAGACGCGAAAGCGUGGGGAGCAAACAGG